rnacentral:rRNA from 1 species
UAACGAAUAUUGGGCAAUGGGCGAAAGCCUGACCCAGCAAUGCCGCGUGCAGGACGAAGUCCUUCGGGAUGUAAACUGCUGUCAGGGGUCCGCAAGCGAAGGGGUCCAACAGGCCCUGGAGUUGAGCAGCCCCAGAGGAAGCCUCGACUAACUCUGUGCCAGCAGUCGCGGUAAGACAGAGGAGGCAAGCGUUGUUCGGAAUCACUGGGCUUAAAGCGCGUGUAGGCGGCUUAGAAAGUGUCGUGUGAAAUCCCGCGGCUCAACCGCGGAACGGCACGGCAAACUACUUGGCUUGAGGUCGGUAGAGGUGCCUGGAACUCUAGGUGGAGCGGUGAAAUUCGUAGAGAUCGGGAGGAAUAUCAGUGGCGAAGGCGCCCAUCUGGACGGUAACUGACGCUGAGACGCGAAAGCGUGGGGAGCAAACA